CGGACUGCAGGCUGCAACUCGCCUGCACGAAGUUGGAAUUGCUAGUAAUCGUGGAUCAGCAUGCCACGGUGAAUACGUUCUCGGGUCUUGUACACACCGCCCGUCACACCAUGGGAGCCGGUAAUACCCGAAGUCAGUAGUCUAACCGCAAGGAGGACGCUGCCGAAGGUAGGAUUGGCGACUGGGGUGAAGUCGUAACAAGGUAAC
rnacentral:rRNA from 1 species